rnacentral:rRNA from 1 species
GCAAGUCGAACGAGGGUUGCUGGUUGAAGUUUCGGAUGGAAACCGGUAAUUCCUAGUGGCGGACGGGUGAGUAACGCGUGGGGAACCUGCCCCGCUCCCGGGGGAUACCAGCUGGAAACGGCUGUUAAUACCGCAUAAGCGCACAGUAUCGCAUGAUGCAGUGUGAAAAACUCCGGUGGAACGGGAUGGCCCCGCGUCUGAUUAGCCAGUUGGCAGGGUAACGGCCUACCAAAGCGACGAUCAGUAGCCGGCCUGAGACGGGCGACCGGCCACAUUGGGACUGAGACACGGCCCAAACUCCUACGGGAGGCAGCAGUGGGGAAUAUUGCACAAUGGGGGAAACCCUGAUGCAGCCGACGCCGCGUGAGUGAGGAAGUAUUUCGGUAUGUAAAGCUCUAUCAGCAGGGAAGAAGUAUGACGGUACCUGCACAAGAAGCCCCGGCUAACUACGUGCCAGCCGCCGC